CUGGCUCACGAUGAACGCUGGCGGUCUGCUUAACACAUGCAAGUCGAACGCUAACGUCGGGAUGAAUGAUGGAGUGGAUGAGUAGCGCAGUGAGAAACUGCCUUGGUGGUCGAGCGACACCACUGAAAACAGUGGCCUAGUACGAACAAGGCUAAGACGCUCAGAAAUUCAAAGCCCCAAGAGGACCUCGAGUAUGACUCCCUGUAGAUUGGGUACGCUCACAGCACGCCACUGCAGCCAACCAGAGCUGGUCUGAGAUGACGAUCUAUACCACACUGAGAAUGAGACACGGGCCAUGACACCUACAGGACGCAGCAUGGAGCGAAUUACCGCUACGUGCUACUACCUGACGCAGCAAUAACGAAUAAUGGACGAAGGCUCUUGCGUUGUCAACCUCUUUUCUCAUGGAAGAAGCUCUGACGGGACUUGAGGAAUCCUCCUCGGCUAGCUCCUUGCCACCAGCCUUGGUGAUUCGGACGCGGCUAGCUUUAUCCCGAAUUAUUGGGCGUAA
rnacentral:rRNA from 1 species